UACCCCCUGUGGACCCAUUGAACCACCUGGUCCUUGGUGAACUCCCCUUGUUAAGAAGGAUUAACGCGGGAGGUUGGCCCCCUCCGGGGUAACCUCAAGAAACCACCAGAGGUGGCCUGUCAAUUGUCCUGUACGUUUCACGCCUCGAUGGUCCGGUGAGAACUGUUUGGGUUUUAANGUCCCCCGCCCAACGAGGGCGACCAACCCCCCUGGUCCCUUUUUGUUUGUCCAGGCCACCGCUUAACUGGGUGGGGAAACCUCCCAGGGGUAGAACUGCCCGGUUGACUAAAACCGGGAGGGAAGGGUGGGGACUGACGUCAAGUCAUCAAUGGCCCUUACGGCCAGGGCUACACACGUGCUACAAUGGCGCGUACAGAGGGCCUGCAAGAUAGCGAUAGUGAGCGAAUCCCAAAAAGCGCGCUCGUAGUCCGGAAUUGGAGCCUGCAACUCGACUCCAUGAAGUCGGAAUCGCCUUUAGGUAAUCGCAAAUCAGAAUGUUGCGGGUGACACUACGUUCCCCGGGUCCCUGUUACACACCGCCCCGCUCACACCCAUGGGUAGAUGUGGGCUUGCCACCAGCAAGCUAGCACUAGCCUUUAACCAUUCGCGCAGGGCCGCUUUACCAACGGCCGUCGUAUUCACCUAA
rnacentral:rRNA from 1 species